GCCAGGCGUGGUGGUGCAUACCUGUAGUCCCAGCUACUCAGGAGGCUGAGGCAGGAGGAUUUCUUGAGCCCAGGAGGUCAAGGCUGCAGUGAGCUAUGAUUGUGCCACUGCACUCCAGCCUGGGCGACAGAGUGAGACCCUAUCUCAA
rnacentral:SRP_RNA from 2 species